CUCCCAGUCUUUCCCAGUCACUCCCAGUCACUCUGCAAGUGCCAUCCCAGUCACUCCCAGUGCUUCCCAAUCACUCUGAGUGCUCCCCCAGUGCGUCCCAGUCCCUCCCAGUCAAUCCCCGCACACGCCCAGGGCCCACCCGGCAGUUCUCCCCAGUUCCCAGUUCCCUCCCAGUCCUCCCCAGUCCCUCCCAGUGUCCCCCCAGCCCCUCCCAGUCCCUCCCAGUCCCUCCCAGUGUCCCCAACAAGGUCCCUUUGUCCCGGUCCCGCCGGUGCCUGUCACGGUGGGGGGGGGGGGCGGGGGCACCCCACGUGUCCCCCCCGGUACCCGCCCCUCCCCCAGCCUCACAGGGACCCCCAGAGGCCUUCCCGGGGUCCCCAGAACCCCCUGGGACCCCCCGGGACCCCCAGAACCCCCUGGGACCCUCCCCAGACCCCCCCCGGAACCUCCAGAAGGCCCCGGACCUCCGAAGACCCCACCGGACCCCCCGGACCCCCCCCCCCGGGGCAGCCGGAGCCGCCGGGGGUCUUCGACCUGGGGGUGCUGAGAACCCCCCGGGGGCUGCUGCUGGCAGGGGAACUGGACCUGCUCCGGGCCAUCAGUGGGACCCUCAUCUUCCUCGUGGUGGCCCUGGUGGCCUUGGCCUCGUCACGUGACGCCCUGGCUGCCACCACCUUCACCUUCAGCCUCGUCCUCGCCUUGGUCUUCGCCUUCGACACCUUCGUCACCUUCCGCACGCGGGUGGCCCCGGCCCUGGGACAGGGUGAGGGGACACCUGGGGCACCCUGGGGUGGGCUUGGGGGACACCUGGGGCACCCUGGGGUGGGAUUAGGGACACCUGGGACACCUGGGACAUCCUUCGGUGGGGUUGGGGACACCUGGGAAACAUCUGGGUUGUCCAUGGGUGGGCUUGGGGGACACCUGGGACACCCUGGGUUGGGGUUGGGGACACCUGGGACAUCCUUCGGUGGGGUUGGGGAACACCUGGAGCACCCUGGG
rnacentral:lncRNA from 1 species